UGGGGAAUAUUGGACAAUGGGCGAAAGCCUGAUCCAGCCAUGCCGCGUGUGUGAAGAAGGUCUUCGGAUUGUAAAGCACUUUAAGUUGGGAGGCGUUACCGACAGAAUAAGCACCGGCUAACUCUGUGCCAGCAGCCGCGGUAAUACAGAGGGUGCAAGCGUUAAUCGGAAUUACUGGGCGUAAAGCGCGCGUAGGUGGUUUGUUAAGUUGGAUGUGAAAGCCCCGGGCUCAACCUGGGAACUGCAUCCAAAACUGGCAGGCUAGAGUACGGUAGAGGGUGGUGGAAUUUCCUGUGUAGCGGUGAAAUGCGUAGAUAUAGGAAGGAACACCAGUGGCGAAGGCGACCACCUGGACUGAUACUGACACUGAGGUGCGAAAGCGUGGGGAGCAAACAGGAUUAGAUACCCCUGUAGU
rnacentral:rRNA from 1 species